rnacentral:rRNA from 1 species
UCGUAUAGUGCGAUUGAUUUAGCGGCCGCCGUUCGCUCUUGUGCCAGCAGCCGCGUAAUUCCAGCUCCAAUAGCGUAUAUUAAAGUUGUUGCGGCUAAAAAGCUCGCAGUUGAACCUUGGGCCUGGCUGGCCGGUCCGCCUCACCGCGUGCACUGGCCCGGCCGGGCCUUUCCCUCUGUGGAACCCCAUACCCUUCACUGGGCGUGGCGGGGAAACAGGACAUUUACUUUGAAAGAAUUAGAGUGCUCCAGGCAGGCCUAUGCUCGAAUACAUUAGCAUGGAAUAAUAAAAUAGGACGCGCGGUUCUAUUUUGUUGGUUUAUAGGACCGCCGUAAUGAUUAAUAGGGACAGCCCGCGGCAUCAGUAUUCAACUGUCAGAGGUGAAAUUCUUGGAUCAGUUGAAGACUAACUACUGCGAAAGCAUUUGCCAAGGAUGUUUUCAUUAAUCAGGAACGAAAGUUAUGGGGAUCGAAGACGAUCAGAUACCGUCGUAGUCUUAACCAUAAACUAUGCCGACUAGGGGGCGGGACGGGGUUAUUCAUGAUCCGUUCGGGAAAAUAAAGAGAAAUCUUUGCUGCUUGGUCCUCCAAAGAAAAAAAAACGAAAGGUUGAAACUUAAGGAAGUUGACGGAAGGGGGGCGCACCAGGUGGUGUUUCUUUUCUGUUUUAUUUUGGCUCAACCCGGGCAAACUCACCACGAAAAGACACAAAAAGAAUGACAGAUUGUUAGUUCUUUCUUGGAUUUUGUGGGUGGGGUGCCAUGGGCCGGUCUUUGUUUGUGGUGUUACUUGUCUGCCUUAAUAGAGAUAAAGAAGAAGAACUUAACCUGCUAAAUAGCCCGCCAUUUGCCUUCCGGCAGUGCGCCUUGGUUUUCUUAAAGAGGGACUAUUCGAGCUCAAAGGCAGAGAGAAAGAUUGGAGGGAAUAAAUAGGUCUGGUGAUGCCCCUUAGAGGUUCUUGGGCCGGCAGCGCGGCCAAACU